AAGGAGUUCCUCCGUCAGAGCAAUGACCUACAUCUUGACAAUGUUAGGAUAGUAUAAUAUAAAAACACAAUCUUUAACAUUAUAAAUGGCAAUCUUCAUGAAAAAUCAAACUUAGAAUCUCAGUGUGAACAUCUCAAAUCAGGUGAGGAAGAGAGGCAGGCUGCCCAUCACGACACAUAGCACACCUUUUCAACCCUGAAAUGAAAACAAAUCUCCACGGAAGCCAUUAGCAGCUUAUUAAUGUUGCUUGUUUGAGCAACAUGUUGAAGUCCUCAUUAAGCUCCUUCUCCAUGUCCACA
rnacentral:misc_RNA from 1 species